rnacentral:rRNA from 1 species
UACAGAGGGUGCAAACGUUGUUCGGAUUUACUGGGCGUAAAGCGCGUGUAGGCUGCUUCGCAAGUCGGAUGUGAAAGCCCUGGGCUCAACCCAGGAAGUGCAUUCGAAACUGCAAAGCUGGAGUCCUGGAGAGGAAGGCGGAAUUCUUGGUGUAGAGGUGAAAUUCGUAGAUAUCGAGAGGAACACCGGUGGCGAAGGCGGCCUUCUGGACAGUGACUGACGCUGAGACGCGAAAGCGUGGGGAGCGAACAGG